CCUACGGGAGGCAGCAGUGGGGAAUAUUGCACAAUGGGGGAAACCCUGAUGCAGCGACGCCGCGUGCGUGAGGAAGUAUCUCUGUAUGUAAAGCUCUAUCUGCAGGGAAGUAAAUGCCGGUACCUGACUAAGUAGGCCCGGCUAACUAGGUUCCAGCACCCGCGGUAAUACGUAGGGGGCCAGCGUUAUCGGGAUUUACUGGGUGUAAAGGGACCGUAGACGGGAGAGCAAGUCUGUUGUGAAAACCCGAGGCUCAACUCCGGUAGUGCCUUUGAAACUGUUGAUCUAGAGUGUCGGAGAGGCAAGCGGAAUUCCUAGGGUAGCGGUGAAAUGCGUAGAUAUUAGGAGGAACACCGGUUGCGAAGGCAGCUUGCUGGACGACUUCUGACGUUGAGGCUCGAAAGCGUGGGGAGCAAACAGGAUUAGAUACCCUAGUAGUC
rnacentral:rRNA from 1 species